AUUGAACGCUGGCGGCAGGCUUAACACAUGCAAGUCGAGCGGGGUGAUGGUGCUUGCACUAUCACUUAGCGGCGGACGGGUGAGUAAUGCUUAGGAAUCUGCCUAUUAGUGGGGGACAACAUAUCGAAAGAGAUGCUAAUACCACAUACGUCCUACGGGGGAAAGCAGGGGAUCACUUGUGACCUUGCGCUAAUAGAUGAGCCAAAGUCGGAUUAGCUAGUUGGUGGGGUAAAGGCCUACCAAGGCGACGAUCUGUAGCGGGUCUGAGAGGAUGAUCCGCCACACUGGGACUGAGACACGGCCCAGACUCCUACGGGAGGCAGCAGUGGGGAAUAUUGGACAAUGGGGGGAACCCUGAUCCAGCCAUGCCGCGUGUGUGAAGAAGGCCUUAUGGUUGUAAAGCACUUUAAGCGAGGAGGAGGCUCUUUUGGUUAAUACCCAAGAUGAGUGGACGUUACUCGCAGAAUAAGCACCGGCUAACUCUGUGCCAGCCGCCGCGGUAA
rnacentral:rRNA from 1 species